GACGAACGCUGGCGGCGUGCCUAAUACAUGCAAGUCGAACGCACAGUUUAUACCGUAGCUUGCUACACCAUAGACUGUGAGUUGCGAACGGGUGAGUAACGCGUAGGUAACCUGCCUGGUAGCGGGGGAUAACUAUUGGAAACGAUAGCUAAUACCGCAUAAUAUUGAUUAUUGCAUGAUAAUUAAUUGAAAGGUGCAAUUGCACCACUACCAGAUGGACCUGCGUUGUAUUAGCUAGUAGGUGAGGUAACGGCUCACCUAGGCGACGAUACAUAGCCGACCGUGGAGGGUGAUCGGCCACACUGGGACUGAGACACGGCCCAGACUCCUACGGGAGGCAGCAGUAGGGAAUCUUCGGCAAUAGACGAAAGUCUGACCGAGCAACGCCGCGUGAGGGAAGAAGGGUUUCGGAUCGUAAAGCUCGGUUGCAAGAGAAGAACGGGUGUGAGAGUGGAAAGUUCACACUGUGACGGUAGCUUACCAGAAAGGGACGGCUAACUACGUG
rnacentral:rRNA from 1 species